UACGUAGGGGGCUAGCGUUGUCCGGAAUCAUUGGGCGUAAAGAGCGUGUAGGCGGCCCGGUAAGUCCGCUGUGAAAGUCGGGGGCUCAACCCUCGAAUGCCGGUGGAUACUGUCGGGCUAGAGUGCGGAAGAGGCGAGUGGAAUUCCUGGUGUAGCGGUGAAAUGCGCAGAUAUCAGGAGGAACACCAAUUGCGAAGGCAGCUCGCUGGGACGUAACUGACGCUGAGACGCGAAAGCGUGGGGAGCGAACAGG
rnacentral:rRNA from 1 species